AACUUUUUUUAUUGAAUAGAAUCACAUACUUGAUUAUCUCUUAUCAAAAAAAAAAUUAAAUAUCCCACCCAAGUAUGUAAUGAAAAGGAAGGGAAAACAGCAAGCAGUACGUAUUGCACCAAAAUAACUCCAUUGUUGGAGAAAUGGAGAAAUUGACGUGACAAAAAUAAUGACCAGCAAAUCAUUACCGAGCAGCAACAAUACACACAAAUAUACGUUUCCGAUCACCGGUAACGUGAUUCUAACGUCGUGUUCCUUUGGAUUCUAGCAAAUCAGGGAUUUCUUUGAAGUGAAGUAAGGUGGAAGAAGGGAAGUUCUUGGCAUAUAAGGCUAAAAGAGCGACAAGGCCAACGGUUUUGCAGUUAGUCGUCAACAGGUGUAUACAGAUGAGUAGAGGAUAUUGGUAGAAGAUGUUCCAGCUGAAUUGGUGAGCUCCAUUUCCUUCCGGAGUGUUUCCGAGUCAGAGUACUUACGUUAUGGUAUUUCGUCUAUAUUAGAGACUUUGCAGACAGUGUCUUGUGGUAUGUUUGUCGAGAUGUCGACAGAGUGAUGUCAGCAGAACCAUUUGUGUACUUUAAAAGAGCAUGCAUUUUAGAUGAUUUUAAUUGGGUUAA